rnacentral:rRNA from 1 species
GUGAGGAAUAUUGGGCAAUGGCCGAAAGGCUGACCCAGCAACGCCGCGUGGAGGACGAAGACCUUCGGGUUGUAAACUCCUUUUCUGGGGGACGAGAAAGGACGGUACCUCAGGAAUAAGUCACGGCUAACUACGUGCCAGCAGCCGCGGUAAAACGUAGGUGGCAAGCGUUAUCCGGAUUUACUGGGCGUAAAGCGCGCGCAGGUGGUAACGUAAGUUGGGUGUGAAAUCUCCUGGCUCAACUGGGAGGGGUCGCUCAAGACUGCGUUGCUUGAGGUCGAGAGAGGGAUGCGGAAUUCCCGGUGUAGUGGUGGAAUGCGUAGAUAUCGGGAGGAACACCAGUGGCGAAAGCGGCAUCCUGGCUCGCACCUGACACUGAGGCGCGAAAGCGUGGGGAGCAAACGGGAUUAGAUACCCCUGUAGUCC